rnacentral:misc_RNA from 1 species
GAUGAAGAACGUAGCGAAAUGCGAUAAGUAAUGUGAAUUGCAGAAUUCAGUGAAUCAUCGAAUCUUUGAACGCACAUUGCGCCCCCUGGUAUUCCGGGGGGCAUGCCUGUUCGAGCGUCAUUUCACCACUCAAGCCUCGCUUGGUAUUGGGCAACGCGGUCCGUCGCGUGCCUCAAAUCGACCGGCUGGGUCUUCUGUCCCCUAAGCGUUGUGGAAACUAUUCGCUAAAGGGUGUUCGGGAGGCUACGCCGUAAAACAACCCCAUUUCUAAGGUUGACCUCGGAUCAGGUAGGGAUACCCGCUGAACUUAAGCAUAUCAAUAAGCGGAGA